rnacentral:rRNA from 1 species
AUGGCAACUUGGACACGGUGCAACCACAGGCAUCUCAUACAACACAUGCAUUCAUUCAUGGCGGUCGUCCCGGCGGUUAUACUUUCAAAGCAUGCAUUUCGGGGCGGACGGGUUCAAAGUGGAAGUAGUUGUUCACGGGUCGUCGUGGGAAGUAGUGGCACACGUGGCGGCGUAGUGGAAGUAGUUGUACAUGGUAGCGACGGUAGUCAAACUUGGCGAACCAGAGGGGUACACUUGAGUCAUCGUGGGAACUUGAUGAAUCCGAGGGCUUCGAGGUCGACGGUAGUUGUACAUCUCAUAGUGGAACUUGACGGAUCCGAGGACUCCGGGCGUCGUGGUACUUGGUGA